UUUAUUAGGGUAAACAAUAUAUCACCAAACUGGGUCUUGAGGUAGAUCGAUUCCCAAUUUGCUAAGAAAAAUGCCAUACUGAUUUACAAAGUGACUGUACGAAUUUGCACACCCACAAGCAGUGGAGGGGUGUUCCCUUUGCUCCACAUCCUCUCCAGCAUAAGCU